rnacentral:lncRNA from 1 species
AGUUUUGGAAUUUUUGUAAAUUAGGUGAUGUAGUUUAUUUAUGUGACUUUGAUAGCUUGAUCUUUUAAAUGAAAAUGACUCUUUGAUUGCAUAUUUUGUGUUUGUUAUAUGUGCAACAAAAUCGAUGUAGUCAAGCCAAAUGGCAUCCAACCAAGAGGGUCUAGCUCAGUUAGUUGAGCAGAGUAUGUGAGUUUUGUAAAUCUCUUGGUAUCGUAUUCAAUUCAUAUGGAUAGAAAAAAAAUAGAAGCCAAAUGGCGUCCGGCGAUCCAUGUAGAUAACUUUACUAGUGGUAUGAUCUAUGUACCUGACUUUGCUAGUCAUAUGAUCCAUGUAGUCGAUUUCCUGGUGAGGUAAAGCUUUGUUGUUUAUUUGUGCAAGAAAAUCCAUGUUGUAUAGAGGAUGCUGAUGAGUACGGGGUUUUGGCUUCUCUAUUUUUCAUGUCGGGGAAUUUGAUAUACA